CAGAUUUUCAAGGUGUAAGAAUUAAUUAUCAGUUUGAAAAAGCAAAGAUUAUUCAUGUCAAUGCUGCAUGGCUUACAGUUAGCUGUGCCCAGAUCAACUUCAUGAUUGCUUCCUUAAUAGAAUAAGAACAGCAAAAAAGGCUUCUUGGAGAAACAUAGCUAUAGUACCAUCGCUUUCUUCAAAAGAUGGGCUCGAAGACUGUACAUUUGUGCAGCAGUCUUUGCGGUAUUAAAAAAAGAAGAAGAU
rnacentral:lncRNA from 1 species